CUUUGCGGAGUCGACUCUCUCAGAGGUGGCAGAAAGACCAAACUCAAGGGAUGCGCGCGAGUCGUCUCCGAAGGACGCGGAGUCGUCCCCACGCAUAAAAAACAAACUUCCCGAGACGUCCCCAGAAAGCGCGGAGUCGACUCUCUUAGGGGAUUCCAGAGGACUUGUUUUUCGGUGAUAAAGCUACGGAGUCGUCCCCGACGUCGCGGAGUCGUCCCCAUGCAAAAAGCGCAAACAUCCCGAGACGUCCC
rnacentral:lncRNA from 1 species